ensembl:lncRNA
GCUACACUUGGAGCCUACACCAUGCUCUUAUCAGCCUAGGCAAGGCACUGUCCGAAUCCCUGCUUUCCCCAGAGACUUCCGCCCCAGCCAGCAUCUGUUUCCUCUGCUAUAUUUAAACAACCAGGUUAGUGAACUUGGGACAGCAUUUCUGCCCAGGAGGAACAAAGCCUUCCACAGAACACACAGGAUAUAUUGUGAUUCUGAGGCCUUGUGGGUUGCUGUGUGCUCCUUCUCAGCUACUGGGAAUCAAAAUACAAAUCCAAUGAAUACUUAAGAGCUGUAUCCAGAACUAAAACAUACCGUGGCUGUCAGAAAGUCAAGAGGAAGAAAUCAUGAAAGUCAGGGGAGCACCUCGUUCAAAGUAUCUGACUGGUCUUAAAAUCAUCUCAUGAAGAUGAGGAAUCAGCCAAGUCAACUAGUGAUGAACUCAUCCAUGGAGUUCUCAAAAGUUGCACAGAAGCUCUGGCAAUAAAAAGGCCACAGGAGAGCUUUCCUGAGAUGAAGCAGAGGCUGAGGACGUGGGAGUCUUAGCUGCUGACACACACAAGUGCUGACCCUGGAAAGUACCGCCGCUGAAUCAAAAAGCCACUUCCCAGAGAUGACAGCAGUGCUGAAGUUUGGCUUCCUGGUGCACCACUGAUUUGUCCAGAACAUUGAGGCCAACAUUUCGCCUCUGUCCUUUCAUGCCUUAGUUUCCUAGCAUGUGGGAAGGUAGUGACAACAAAGGGA